rnacentral:rRNA from 1 species
ACGCUGGCGGCGUGUCUUAAGCAUGCAAGUCGAGCGGCAAGGCGCAGCAAUGCGCUGAGAGCGGCGGACUGGUGAGUAACGCGUGGGUAAUCUACCUUUGGCAUGGGGGAUAGCCACUAGAAAUAGUGGGUAAUACCGAAUACGUUCCCUGGGGGGAGGUUUCANGGGAAGAUAGGGUGCUACCGCACCGGCCGGAGAUGAGCUCGCGUCCCAUUAACUUGUUGGUGAGGUAACGUGCACCACCAAGGCGAUGAUGGGUAGCCGGUCUGAGAUGGUGUACGGCCACACUGGGACUGAAAUACGGUCCAUACUCCUACUGGAAGCAUCAGCUAAUAUUAUUUCGCAAUGGACGAAAGUCUGACGGAGCGACUGCCGCGUGGAUGAUGAAGGCCGUAAAGGUUGUAAAGUCCUUUUGCUGGGGAAGAAUAAGUGUGGGAGGGAAUGCCCGCAUGAUGACAUGAACCGGCGUAAUAAGCCCCGGCCAACUACGUGCCAGCAGCCGCGGUAACACGUAGGGGGCGAGCGUUGUUCGGAAUUACUGGGCGUAAAGGGCAUGUAGGCGGUCUGGUAAGCCUGGCGUGAAAGGCCACAGCUCAACUGUGGGAUUGCGUUGGGAACUGCUGGGCUUGAGUUAUGGAGAGGGAGCUAGAAUUCCUGGUGUAGGGGUGAAAUCUGUAGAUAUCAGGAAGAAUACCGAUGGCGAAGGCAAGCUCCUGGCCGAUGACUGACGCUGAGUGUGCGAAAGUGUGGGGAUCAAACAGGAUUAGAUACCCUGGUAGUCCACACUGUAAACGAUGUGCACUAGGUGCUGGGGCGGUAGCUUCAGUGCCGGAGCGAACUGUGGUAAGUGCACCGCCUGGGGAGUAUGCUCGCAAGGGUGAAACUCACAGGAAUUGACUGGGGCCCGCACAAACGGUGGAGCAUGUGGUUUAAUUCGAUGGUACGGCGAGGAACUCUUCNUGGGUUUCGACAUCACAGGCAGAUGUGGCAGCGACAGUCACAGAUUGGAAACAGUACCGCGUACAGGUAGGUGCAUGGAUGUCGUCAGUCUACGUUGCCGUGAGGUGUAGGGUUAAGUCCCGCAACGAGCGCAACCCCUCCUGCCAGUUACUAACAGGUAACGAUGAGGACUCUGGCGGAACUGCCGGUGACAAACCGGAGGAAGGUGGGGAUGACGUCAAGUCAUCAUGGCCCCUAUGUCCAGGGCUACACACGUGUUACAAUGGGCUGAUACAGAGUGACGCGAAGACCGCGAGGUGGAGCAAAUUGCAGAAAAUCGCUACUCAGUUCGGAUUGGAGUGCUGAAACCCGACUCCAUGAAGGUGGAAUCGCUAGUAAUCGCGCAUCAGCAUGGCGCGGUGAAUACGUUCCCGGGCCUUGUACACACCGCCCGUCACACCAUCCGAGUGGGGGGUACCCGAAGCCGUUAGUCCAACCUGCAAAGGGGGGCGACGUCGAAGGUACGUCUGG